GAUGAACGCUAGCGGCAGGCUUAACACAUGCAAGUCGAGGGGCAGCAUAAUGGAUAGCAAUAUCUAUGGUGGCGACCGGCGCACGGGUGCGUAACGCGUAUGCAACCUACCUUUAACAGGGGGAUAACACUGAGAAAUUGGUACUAAUACCCCAUAAUAUCAUAGAAGGCAUCUUUAUGGUUGAAAAUUCCGAUGGUUAGAGAUGGGCAUGCGUUGUAUUAGCUAGUUGGUGGGGUAACGGCUCACCAAGGCGACGAUACAUAGGGGGACUGAGAGGUUAACCCCCACACUGGUACUGAGACACGGACCAGACUCUACGGAGCAGCAGUGAGGAUAUUGGUCAAUGGAACGCAAGUCUGAACCAGCCAUGACGCGUGCAGGAUGAC
rnacentral:rRNA from 1 species